rnacentral:tRNA from 1 species
GGGAAGGUGGCUCAGUGGUAGAGCUCUUGCCUUGCAUGCAUGAGGCCCUGGGUUCGAUUCUUCAGCCCCA